rnacentral:misc_RNA from 1 species
UAUUGUUGUUCUCCUAUAGGGAUGCAG